AUUGAACGCUGGCGGCAUGCUUUACACAUGCAAGUCGAACGGUAACAGGCCGCAAGGUGCUGACGAGUGGCGAACGGGUGAGUAAUGCAUCGGAACGUGCCCAGUCGUGGGGGAUAACUGCUCGAAAGAGCAGCUAAUACCGCAUACGAUCUGCGGAUGAAAGCGGGGGACCUUCGGGCCUCGCGCGAUUGGAGCGGCCGAUGUCAGAUUAGGUAGUUGGUGGGGUAAAGGCUCACCAAGCCAACGAUCUGUAGCUGGUCUGAGAGGACGACCAGCCACACUGGGACUGAGACACGGCCCAGACUCCUACGGGAGGCAGCAGUGGGGAAGUUUGGACAAUGGGGGCAACCCUGAUCCAGCAAUGCCGCGUGCAGGAAGAAGGCCUUCGGGUUGUAAACUGCUUUUGUACGGAACGAAACGGUCUGGGUUAAUACCCUGGGCUAAUGACGGUACCGUAAGAAUAAGCACCGGCUAACUACGUGCCAGCCGCCGCCGUAAAAC
rnacentral:rRNA from 1 species